rnacentral:lncRNA from 1 species
GGGGCGGGGGGUGAGAACAUGUAAACAUGUCUCCCCUCCCAGUGGGUACCGCAAGCCGAAGAAGGCGAGGGGUACUCACUAGUCACGGAGAUAAACAAAUAUAUGGAUAAUGGUAGUACAGUAGCUAAAAUAAACAAGUACUGAAGUGUAUAUAAAUGAACAACUACAGCUACUGUAUGUAUGCAUCAACGGGACAAUCAGUCCAAAAGUACCCAAUCUGAACCCAAUGCUCUCUUGGUCAGCACCGCAGACCUCAAGCCAAUGCCACUACUACUCUCCAGUGCAUAUAACCCCUCUAGGGCUCACGGGUUGUCACCAUUCAACCACUUUUCCGGAAAAGAACACUCCUUGCGGUGGAUCAGACCGCCAGUGUUCGUGAAAUGCGACGAGUAUCGGGCGAUCAAUGCAAUAUGCUCAAUGAUCAACCGUCGGCAACCAGCCGACAAUCCUGCCCCCCAGGGCCCAUCGACCGCAUGGGUCAUCAUGUAACCAAAUCGACCAACCAGGUCACAAGUAUGGAGUAUGAAACUCGACCAACCAGGUCACAAGUAGGGAGUAUGAAACUCGACCAACCAGGUCACAAGUAUGGAGUAUGAAACUCGACCAACCAGGUCAUAGAUACAACAAAGGAGAAUCAACCAACCAGGUCACAAAUAUCACAUGCUGAAGAAAUCUACUCUACUCCUACACAAGAUACUAAACAUGGAAACAACCGAGUAGAGUAAUACGAGAAUAAUAUGGGUGCAAGGCUCAAUAUGUAUAUGAUAAGCAAUGUAAACAGUAAGGGUGGAAGGAACGUCACCGAGCGUGCACCACUGUACCGACGUCGGGUCGAAGU